CCCGUAUAGAAGGCUUUCUGCACAAUGUAAUUUGGGUUCCGAUUAAUCUAAGACCCUGGGAGAAAAGACUGCCUCCAGGGAAUCAUGUCCGAUUAGGGACAAAGGAGGGCACAAGCCCAAUUCAGUCACACGACCGCAAGCAACGUGGCCCACAACGCAGAGAUGCCUCUGGCAAUCUCUUCAGGAAAACGAAGAUUCCUUACCUAGGCUAGGUAAGGCCCUGCUGGAUAAAU
rnacentral:lncRNA from 1 species